CUUGUCUCGGAUUCCUCCUGGACAAGUGCUAGGAGCCCCAGAAGUUCGUUUUUCCGUCGUGUACUGGCAGAAAAGAGCUGGUAGAGAGUUUCCAAGACGGGCUGUGCGUCUGAAAGCAUCUUUUCCCUAAGUAAAGUCUGAACAUCCAAGGUGUAGUCUGUGCUAGAGAACUGACAUACCUGAGCUGUGGCCCUGGCUUCCAAUAGGGUCUGCCCACCCUCAGGUCUCAAGCAGGGCAAUGACCCUCACUGUGAAAGAGAACACCUGGGUCUUAUAGAAGAUCUUGUGGCCUAGCUGGGCUGCAUUAUUUGUGACCACUGCAGUAUAAGUGUGGAUCUGGCUGCUGUAAUCAAUGGCUCAUCUGAUGACCCCAGAGUUGCACUCAGGGUCCAGAUCACAAGAUCAGAGAUGAAGGAGUGGCUGAGAGAGAGAGAGAGGAAGCCGUAACAGGGAAAAAACAGCGGCAUGCAUGGCUGUGGAGCUGGAGCCCACAGGAAGGAAGUGUGGCGGACAGGAGGGGCUACUAUACUCAAGAAGGGGAGCCAGGAGCCGGUGCCACAGCUCUGGAGGGCAGGCCAACACUGGCCACACCCAUGAAGGCUGAGUCCCAGUCCAGAAACGCUAGACACCCACACAGACCCCAGGAUACUAGGGAGCAAGACCUUCAGCCUGGAGCCCCCACGUCCCCAGCAUCCAGGAAGGUGUGUGCCAGGAGCUCUUGAGGGUUCCUUCCACACACAGCCCACACCCUCUCCCUGCACCAGAGGGACAGCUGCUCUUGUACCUGUCCCUGAGGCUUUUUCGCCAGGAGGAACUCAGAACCCCACAUCUAACCUCUAGAGCAGGAAGAACGGCUGGUGGACAGCUGCAAACAUAAUACAGGAACAGCUACAGCUACCACAGGGUCUCCUGCAGCUGCCCUGCACACACCUGAGGACUUUGCUUCAUUAAUAGCUGAUCCCUCUGACCAGCUAGUGCCCAGGGGGCCAUUGUCAGUGUUCAGGCGUCUGUACUGGUCUGCCCUUGGGGCUCUGAUAAGAUACGUCUUCAGCUGCAGCCACUAAGAGCACCGCCUGUGUCUAUUCACUACGGUCCCUUUUAAAAGGACCCUGCCCACCUCCCAUCUCCUUUCUCUCCCUCUCCCUUUUCCCUCCUUCCCCCCUCC
rnacentral:lncRNA from 1 species